GGAGUUCGGAUAUAUCAGACUCUUCGUUGGCCUCGUUUUUAGGUGUUUGAUCCGUGACGUUUCGUCGAAAAAUCACAAGCGCGCAUGCCGUAGGUGUUUGCCUGGUUGCAAGAUCUUGCCGAUUUCAACGUUUUUCCACCUCUUCGGUUGGCGUACGCUGAACUGGACCCUCGCAGCAAGAAUGGCACGUGGGAAUUGACACCGCGAUCGUGGAACACAUGGCUGAUCUGCCUCGAAUAACUGCAAGCCGGCGCGUGCGUAGUGCCGUGGAGAACGAUCAGAAGUCCUGGACGACAAAGAAAAAAAACUUCAAAGGUUUGUUGUACAUGUUUUCCACGGCAACUGACAUAAACGUAAAAAAAAAAUUGGAAUGGUCAAAUGCAUGUGUCAAGUUUAACCAUUUGUAGUGGGCUGUGGACAUGAAUUAAGCAUUGCUGCACACAAGACUGGCUUGCCCUCAGUUUAUGCCCAGUACGAAAUUUUUUGC